UGCGGUCUUAUCUCACAAAAACACCGGUUCCUGUACGAUCACCGAAGUUAAGCAACGUCGAUUCCGCUCAGUACCUAGAUGGGUGACCGCUUGGGAGUACCAGGUUCUGU